rnacentral:rRNA from 1 species
ACGGGGCCCGCACAAGCGGUGGAGCAUGUGGUUUAAUCGAAGCAACGCGAAGAACCUUACCAGGUCUUGACAUCCCGAUGCUAUUUCUAGAGAUAGAAAGUUACUUCGGUACAUCGGUGACAGGUGGUGCAUGGUUGUCGUCAGCUCGUGUCGUGAGAUGUUGGGUUAAGUCCCGCAACGAGCGCAACCCCUAUUGUUAGUUGCCAUCAUUCAGUUGGGCACUCUAGCGAGACUGCCGGUAAUAAACCGGAGGAAGGUGGGGAUGACGUCAAAUCAUCAUGCCCCUUAUGACCUGGGCUACACACGUGCUACAAUGGUUGGUACAACGAGUUGCGAGUCGGUGACGGCGAGCUAAUCUCUUAAAGCCAAUCUCAGUUCGGAUUGUAGGCUGCAACUCGCCUACAUGAAGUCGGAAUCGCUAGUAAUCGCGGAUCAGCACGCCGCGGUGAAUACGUUCCCGGGCCUU